ACUUACAGUUCAGCCUUCCCUCCCCAGCGUCAGUUCCUGGAGUACCUCUUGUUAGUCUCUGCUCUGGGUUCUGGUCAUGAGAACAAGAAUGUCAGUGGCUUUCCAUCAACGACAUCUGGAGUAUUUGGCAACUUGCUUUCAAGCAGCCACUUGUACAAUGAAGGGAAGACAAGAAAGCUUAUGCAGCAUGUGUUCUGGACUUAUUUCAACCAUCCAGGCAUCAAGCAACAGAAGAAAGAAGAUAAAGGUAUAUGCUGCUGUGGCUGGUGGCGUGAUGGGAACAGCAGGAGGAAGUUGAUGGAUGCCAGCGUGGAAGAGGAGUUGGAGGAAAUUCUUCAUAAGG
rnacentral:lncRNA from 1 species